rnacentral:lncRNA from 1 species
UGCUGUCAUCCUUGAUUUGAAAUAUAUAGGGAAUGGAUUGGUUCUAAGUGAAGUAAUUGGCUACAAAUGAAUAUUUACUCUAGAAUACUCUCUAGAUUGCUCUUAUAGACAUUGAUACUAAUAAUGAGUCUGAUUAUUCGUAAUAUUCUUCUAUACUUGUAAUAAUACAUUCUUUGUUUUUAUUUUCAGAAGUAUUUGUUUUUAACGAUGAAAGGCCUUUGUCCCGUCGAGUAAGAUCACCAAGACAGCUAAAAUCCAUUCUGAAAACAUCUAUCCAGCAUAAUUCAGAAGCUGGUAUGCAACUUACAGGAAGAUCACCGUGGUGUGUGAAUGUGGAUAAUGUCAGCUCUACCUCCUCUGUGAAGGGAGAAUCAGGGAGAAAGAUCCACAUAAAACCUAAGAAGAGCCAGAACAGUUUUAGAAAAUCUGGAGUUUAUGUGUCUUCUCGGGUAGACCCAAUUCUUGAAGUAUGGGAAGAAAAUACAUCUGCAACGG